rnacentral:rRNA from 1 species
CAAUAGCGUAUAUUAAAGUUGUUGCAGUUAAAAAGCUCGUAGUUGGAUUUCGGGGCAGCCUGGCUGGUCCGCCGCAAGGCGAGUACUGGUCAGCCGCCCUUCCUCUCGAAAGCCCCGACUGCUCUUCGUUGCAGUGGUCGGGCAGUUCGGGACGUUUACUUUGAAAAAAUUAGAGUGUUCAAGGCAGGCCUACGCCUGAAUACAUUAGCAUGGAAUAAUGGAAGAGGACCUCGGUCCUAUUUUGUUGGUUUCCAGGGCCGAAGUAAUGAUUAAGAGGGACAGUUGGGGGCAUUCGUAUUUAAUUGUCAGAGGUGAAAUUCUCGGAUUUAUGAAAGACGAACAACUGCGAAAGCAUUUGCCAAGGAUGUUUUCAUUAA